rnacentral:rRNA from 1 species
CCUUUAAUGUUUGAUGUUCUAACGUGGACCCGUUACCCGGGUUGCGGACAGUGUCUGGUGGGUAGUUUGACUGGGGCGGUCUCCUCCUAAAGAGUAACGGAGGAGCACGAAGGUUGGCUAAUCCUGGUCGGACAUCAGGAGGUUAGUGCAAUGGCAUAAGCCAGCUUGACUGCGAGCGUGACGGCGCGAGCAGGUGCGAAAGCAGGUCAUAGUGAUCCGGUGGUUCUGAAUGGAAGGGCCAUCGCUCAACGGAUAAAAGGUACUCCGGGGAUAACAGGCUGAUACCGCCCAAGAGUUCAUAUCGACGGCGGUGUUUGGCACCUCGAUGUCGGCUCAUCACAUCCUGGGGCUGAAGUAGGUCCCAAGGGUAUGGCUGUUCGCCAUUUAAAGUGGUACGCGAGCUGGGUUUAGAACGUCGUGAGACAGUUCGGUCCCUAUCUGCCGUGGGCGCUGGAGAACUGAGGGGGGCUGCUCCUAGUACGAGAGGACCGGAGUGGACGCAUCACUGGUGUUCGGGUUGUCAUGCCAAUGGCACUGCCCGGUAGCUAAAUGCGGAAGAGAUAAGUGCUGAAAGCAUCUAAGCACGAAACUUGCCCCGA